rnacentral:tRNA from 1 species
GAGGUUGUAGCUCAAGUAGUAGAGUGUGUGCUUAACAUGCACAAGGUCCUGAGUUCAAUCCCCAGGAGCUCCU